AGCUAUGGGAGUUACACCUCUGCCAGCCAGCCCUUCCUUCAGGCUUGGAAAUCUGUCUCCUGCAGGGAUGCCCAGGCUGGCUUUGAGGAGGCACCAGCCUGUCAGAUGAAGCACAGGAGCUCCGAGGAGCAGCAGGAAUACCUGAAAUGGGAAAGACAGAAGCCAUGAACAGAAUGAAUGCACCAAGGCAGUAUCCUGUACCCUUCAGGAAUGCUGGAUCCAGCAACACACAGAUGGAUGAAUCCCAGGAAUAAAGCAUUUCUAGUGUGCUCCCACACAGAAUUCUUGUGGAAAGAAAUGUCCAAAUCCAGAUUCUCCUUUGCAGAGCAGAGCAUCUCCUACUCACAGCGCUUCAGGCUGUUUCCAAGAACAGCUGCUGAGCAGAGCAGGCAUUUGGCUGUUCCUGCAUCAUCCUAGGACUGGUUUUAUUUAGGUGUUCUGCAGCCUGGGCCCACCCAGCUGCUCCCUGAGCCUCAGAUUUGGUUCUUCAGUUUCUGCAUCUUACAAGAAAAAUGUAUUGUUGAAUUUAGCAUUAAUUUUGUCCAUUUGGUUAUGUUAUUCUCAGUUUAAGCUGUUUACACUCCUGUUUCCCUCCUUGCUGUUUGAGUUGGGCAGAGCCUGGGAGGAAUUCAAAUUUACAAGGCCUCUCCCUUUUCUCUUGUAAGGAUUGACCUUUUCCAGGGUUAUCUACAGAGAUCUUCAUUCACACCUUCAGCAUCUCCAGGAGCAGCUCUUAGCUGGUUUUCAGAUGUAAAACAGGCCAGUGCUGUUACCUUCCAGACAUGCUUUUGUUAAUUUGAUUGAAUUUUUGGUUGAAGAAUUGACUUUAUUUGCAUGUAGAUAGUAAAUUACCUGUUAGUAACAGGAGUGUUAAUUACAUUAUUGGACUGUAGACAGUGACCUGUCUGUGUGCUAGGUAGAGCUAGCUGGUGAUUUUAGGAACUAUUUUGCUUUCAGUUGGUCAACACUGCAUUGUAAAGGAACAUUCCCAUUUUGUUUAGUUCAAAAAGGAGUUGGCCUAAAGGAGAAGGACUAAAACAGUGCCAUCCACAUGUUACUGCUCACCUGGUGGCAGGAUCCACCUGGGAAGUGUUCCAGAAUCAUCGUUAUCCUUUAAAAGUCACAAAAGUUCAGUGGUGUUUUAUGAAUCAGUUUGUGUUUGUUAAGGAUUGCCAAGUGUUGCUUUGGCCUUGAAUAAAUUUCCAGAGUUUACACGGAUUUAAGAGACUUCCACGAGAGGGUGCAGCAGUUCAACAAAAUCCCAUCUAAACCAGAUGAGCCUGUCCCCACUGUGGGCAGAUUUUCACUAAUUUCAUGCAUUAAUUUGUGUAUUUACAUCAACUUCCAAAUCGGAUGGGUGCUUCAGCAAAUCAGUUCAAUGUCCCAGAGUGUCCCUCCAGUCUGGCACUUUUUGGUGUCCCAUGUUACCUGGUCUCAGCCUAUCCCUGAUUCCCUGCAAAUGCUCACUAUAUGCAUUUCAAAAAUAAACUGUAGGGAUUUUUAAAAAUAUUAUUGUUUUAGUUUGGAAGCAUAAUUAAUUUCCCCCUCAGACUGGUCCAGCUGCAGAAGGAGACUCCACCUAGAAGGCUGAGUUCUGGAGAAACUGCUGAGCUGAGGGUGAGUGAUAGAACAGAAAGAGAAAAAAAGUUCUGUGCCAAAUGGUUUCGUGUUCCAUGAGACAGUCGGGAGCUCAGGAGUGACCCAGCUCUGGCUGCAGGGUGCUGCUGUGCUGACAUCCUGAAAGCACAGAGCUGGCCAAGGGUCAGGGUCCAUUCCUCUGUCUGCAGCACUGAAGUACCUCUGCAAAAUGAUUAACUCCUGACACAUUGCCAGGCAAAGGGCCCACCUUGGAAGCAUGUGUUCCCUGUCCAAAUUCAUCUAUCCUAAAUCACUUCCUGAGAUAAGAUUAUUUGACAGUGAAAUAACCAGAGGUGUGGUUAUACUCAUGUAUAAUACAUUAUAUUUUUCCCUGGUAAGUGCUGUUUUCACUAGACUUGAUAUUCAGUAGGAGAAACAGCAUGCUGUGCUUUCAAAACUUUUAAUUACUAGUAUGAGAUGUUAAAAGAGGGAGAAUUUGAGACCAAGGAAAUUAUUUUGUUACUGCCAGCUGCAAAUGUAAAAGUUGGGUCUGAAUUCAAAAGAUUUCAUUGAUUAAUUGGAACCACUUUAGUUCUGGGACUUUUCUUUUGAGCAGUGCAAAAAAGAAAAAUAUGAGGUUUACUAAAACAUCCCCAACACACAGUGAACAUGUAACCAACAAGAAUAUUUUUAUUUUAAAGACUAGCACCACCUUCUUCCAUUGACCUGCUCUAGAUUAUCAUGUAUAAACAGAUAAGGUCUGGAGAUGAAUAGAAUGAAUGAACAGAAUGAAAUGAAUGAAUAGAAAUUCA